UCCAAAGAAAAAAAAACACACACACACACACACACUAGUAAUUUAAACCAGCAACAUGAAGAGAAAUUCCAUUUCUGCUCGUGUUGUUGGGAAGUCAAUGUCAUUGGGCUAUCCUCCAAAAGAAUAGGAUCAUUUAUUGUUCCUACAAUUGUCUCCUCUAGCAUAAUUUCCUCACUGCCCCAAAGUCACACAAUUGUUGUGUACUUUGCCUCUCUCUCAUAAGACCCUUUCUUCUCUUCUCUUAGCUCACUAUAUAUUCACUGCAAGUAGAUACUUGUCCCAUAUCCUCUGUGUUUCUCUAUCUCUAUCUUAUUUCAGAGACAAGAGUCUUACAAAAGAAAGUUAUUGACAUUAAAGAGGCCUUUCACGGAGAAAAUGGCAAGCCUAAAGGAAACAGGGAAUAUUGCAAAAUGUCUUGAAGAAAAAUUCCCCUCUGUGGAUAUCAACAAAGAACUAAAUCCCGGACAAGAUAGAAGUUUCGUAGUGGAUCCUAUAUCAUCUAAGAUAGCCAGUUCGAUGGAGACAAAGUCCAAGGACCAAGGGGAAGGAAACAAGGGAAGUGACAAUAGGCCACAGACGUUUGUGUAGGUUCUCCUUGAUUCAGAAGUGCAUGGCAUUUUGUGUAUCCUCCAUCCCGUGAAAGAUGCCAAUUUCAUACAUGACCAUUUUUGGGUUAUAAGGGACCUAGGUUUAGUGUUCUUGUUUUUUCUCGAGUGUAUACAUGGUAAGUCAUCAGUUCUACUAGGGCAAUUUCAUAACCUAAAAACUCUUUUGACAAGGGGCACAUUUUUUUUUCCUCUCUUCAAAUUGUGUUAUUCAAUUCCUUGUGUUGUUGUAACAAUAUAUACAGUGUUGAUUAAUUUGAAAAUUAUUUUUUUUUAUUUUCUUAUGU